GUUCGGUGGGCAAGACCCUGCCCCUCCCUUCUUGCAGAAAGCUCCAUUGUCAUCUCUGUCACUUCUCGGAUUUCACAUAAGAUAUGAGUUGAACAAAGAAUUUGAUGCCUAAAAAAAUAAUAAGGUAUGCCAAACACUGGACUACAUGACAUCUCUAUUUAAUACUAAUUAUGAUAUUUGGAAGCAGUGGGCUAAGUCUGAGAUAAAAUUGAAUAGAAAUACACAUAAGAUUCCACACUGAAGCCCCCAAAGGAAACCAUCCAAGUAGAGGAUGAGGGAUGAGCUUAUGAAUACUACUUAGGUGUUUUGGCUGUGGAAAAGCUCAGGAUGAACUAAGAUCAUGAUAUUAUCACAAGACAACAAGAUAAAGCAAUGACCAGCCACCGCAACGACCACCACCUCCACCUCCUCCACCGUAAACUGAGGGGGAAACUGAGGCACAGGGAUGUCAUGUAAUUGGUGCUACACUGCACAGCGAGAGGCAGAGCAAAUGAAAUUCCAAGUACGCAUUUGCAACUCUCUGGGUCCAGGCCAAAGAAUCUUCUUGAAGGAGCCGUAAAAGAACUAACUGUCUUGGGGCUUCUGGCUUUAGAUAAAGCCUUGCUCAGUUUUUUUGGAAAACAUUUCUAUUUGAACUGGACUUUGGAAGCAAACAUUGGUAUCUGAGCCUCGGGAUUGCAAUGACUCACGGAUGGCACAGUGACCUCCAGGUUGGGACAGCAGAAUGGGAGCCUGGAUAGUUGGCUCUCUGACCACUAGGUGGCAAACGCAAACGCUCCCAGCAGUUGCCAUCAGACACUGUUGGAACACACAGGCCGGGUCAGCCAUGUGCACACCUAAGUGAUGCUGAACAAGUGAGGUGCAGACUGGAGCCAGUUGGAGUGAAUCCUCCCGACCGCACCUGACCAAGGAGUGGACGAUUUCUUUAGUGAAGAGAGUUGGAAAUGAUGCUUGAGCUGACUCCAUGGUGUGUGAGAUAUUGCAUAUGCAGCCAGUGGCUCAGACACAGCUAAAAUGAAAAUGAAUGUGUGUGCUGCGUUUGGACAGAUGAGCCCCCGACCUGCCAUGCUGUCGCCGAGUGAUGGCUUUUACAUUCGAAGGGAGCCGUUCCCCACCAUAAAGUUGGAAGGUGGCCGCGAGCCUAUCCGCGUUUGGCAGGUUUGAGGAGUCCAGAUGUCCGUCAUGAAAUGGGUUAUUUAAUGUAUCUGUGGGCUGUUUGCAAAAUGGGAAGGCCUCCAUUUUUGUAAACACCAAGUGGGCAAAUGCCAAAUGUGUUUGCCAUCAACACCAGUGUGUACAUGGGUAGUAAGUGCACAUAAAGGGUCCUUUCUAUUCAAUUCCAUGCAAAUCAAACAUUUGCAUUUCAAUUCAUAUCCACUUAAUUCUAUUUCCUGUGCAGACUGAGCUCUGUUAGGUCACCCUGCCAAAUGGUGGUGUCUCCUGAACCUCUUUCCUAGAGGGCGAUAAUCAAACUCAUCUCUGUCUAUGUACCAGGUGGAGGUGGCAUGAGGCCGACCCUCACUCACCUUCAUCAUAACUCAGCAUCAAAUUCAACUUACCUGGCAAUAACUGGAAAUACCUGAAAAUAAUUCAGUGAGACCAGAUACCCAUGGACCCACUCAGAGAUUCAAAUUCAGUGCUUUGUGGGUGGUUUGGGAACCAGUGAGUUUAGUAAACACUCCCAAAUAAUUCUGAUGACAGUGUUGUGUGGCUCACAGGCUUACAGACGUCACUGUAGAAUAGCGACUGGCUUCACUUCUGGUGAAGGUAGGGCAAAUGGAACAAGUCCCCGUAGUGGCUCCAUCUCAGUGGGUUACAGAAUCCUGGAAAUGUACAUCUCUCCUGGCAGAUGUCACGCCUACUGGCAUGGACAUGGAUUUUGGAGGCAGACAGACGUUGGGGACAAUCCUGCCUAGACUACGUGCUGGCUAUGUGAGUUUGAGGCUGCCACUUUACCUUUUUUGACAUGAAUUUCCUGACAUGUAAGCUGUGGGUUUACUUUUCAGGAUUUUUGAGGGACUCAGAGGUAAUGCAAUUGAGUGGUUACCAUGGUGCCUAGCGUGUUGUAGGCUCUCGAUAAGCGGUGACUUAUCUUCUUAUUAUUAUGGUUAAUAUCCCUUUAAAUUCCAAUGAUCAGAUCUUAGUCACAAAUGAAUCGGAGCAAGGAAGAUCUUCCAGAAUAUCGCCCCCUCCCCCUCCGCUUCCCGCUUCUCCCUCCUGGUUUCGGUUUCCCUUUAAGUGGUAAUGCUAGUUUCAGAUGAGAUGUUCCCUUCCUUGUAUUUUAAACACUGGAGGAAGUCAGAGCUUGACAGCUCUCAUCUGCACAAGCGUGAUGCCGGGAGAGGGGAUGUGGAGGAGAGUGCCGGCCCCCUCUCUGCCCGCGUGGCGGUGUGCAAAGUGGCUGAUUAGCCAGUUUUUAUUUUUAACAGAGGUCCUAUCUGUGUGUGAGCCUGACCCUGCAGUCCCAUCCAAUGCGGAACAACCCGAGAUCUGAGAGCCAUGUUGGUUCAGAAGAGGAAAGCCCGGAUUGGAGGACUUCGCCGUGUCUGCUUUGCUUCCAAGCUGGGACCUGUAAGGCUCUGUCCAAAUCACAUCCCCUCCCCCCAGCCCAUUCUCUGUCCUGCUGCUCCUGCAACCUUGGGACAAUUCACCUUCCCACUUGCAGAAAUGUCUUCCACGGCUCCUGUAGCCUUGUCUUGACAUCCAAACACCUGCACUUGAAUGUUUAUAGCAGCACAAUUCAUAAUUGCAAGGCUGUGGAAA